CUUGUGGAUCGGAGUGAAAGGCUAAUCAAGCUCGGAGAUAGCUGGUUCUCCUCGAAAGCUAUUUAGGUAGCGCCUCAUGUAUCACUCUGGGGGGUAGAGCACUGUUUCGGCUAGGGGGUCAUCCCGACUUACCAAACCGAUGCAAACUCCGAAUACCCAGAAGUGCCGAGCAUGGGAGACACACGGCGGGUGCUAACGUCCGUCGUGAAAAGGGAAACAACCCAGACCGCCAGCUAAGGUCCCAAAGUUGUGGUUAAGUGGUAAACGAUGUGGGAAGGCUUAGACAGCUAGGAGGUUGGCUUAGAAGCAGCCAUCCUUUAAAGAAAGCGUAAUAGCUCACUAGUCGAGUCGGCCUGCGCGGAAGAUGUAACGGGGCUCAAACCACACACCGAAGCUGCGGGUGUCACGCAAGUGACGCGGUAGAGGAGCGUUCUGUAAGCCUGUGAAGGUGAGUUGAGAAGCUUGCUGGAGGUAUCAGAAGUGCGAAUGCUGACAUGAGUAACGACAAUGGGUGUGAAAAACACCCACGCCGAAAGACCAAGGGUUCCUGCGCAACGUUAAUCGACGCAGGGUUAGUCGGUUCCUAAGGCGAGGCUGAAAAGCGUAGUCGAUGGGAAACAGGUUAAUAUUCCUGUACUUCUGGUUACUGCGAUGGAGGGACGGAGAAGGCUAGGCCAGCUUGGCGUUGGUUGUCCAAGUUUAAGGUGGUAGGCUGAAAUCUUAGGUAAAUCCGGGGUUUCAAGGCCGAGAGCUGAUGACGAGUCGUCUUUUAGAUGACGAAGUGGUUGAUGCCAUGCUUCCAAGAAAAGCUUCUAAGCUUCAGGUAACCAGGAACCGUACCCCAAACCGACACAGGUGGUCGGGUAGAGAAUACCAAGGCGCUUGAGAGAACUCGGGUGAAGGAACUAGGCAAAAUGGCACCGUAACUUCGGGAGAAGGUGCGCCGGCUAGGGUGAAGGAUUUACUCCGUAAGCUCUGGCUGGUCGAAGAUACCAGGCCGCUGCGACUGUUUAUUAAAAACACAGCACUCUGCAAACACGAAAGUGGACGUAUAGGGUGUGACGCCUGCCCGGUGCCGGAAGGUUAAUUGAUGGGGUUAGCGCAAGCGAAGCUCUUGAUCGAAGCCCCGGUAAACGGCGGCCGUAACUAUAACGGUCCUAAGGUAGCGAAAUUCCUUGUCGGGUAAGUUCCGACCUGCACGAAUGGCGUAACGAUGGCGGCGCUGUCUCCACCCGAGACUCAGUGAAAUUGAAAUCGCUGUGAAGAUGCAGUGUAUCCGCGGCUAGACGGAAAGACCCCGUGAACCUUUACUGUAGCUUUGCACUGGACUUUGAGCCUGCUUGUGUAGGAUAGGUGGGAGGCUUUGAAGCGUGGACGCCAGUUCGCGUGGAGCCAUCCUUGAAAUACCACCCUGGCAUGCUUGAGGUUCUAACUCUGGUCCGUGAUCCGGAUCGAGGACAGUGUAUGGU
rnacentral:rRNA from 1 species